UACAGAGGGUGCGAGCGUUAAUAGGAAUUACUGGGCGUAAAGCGUGCGUAGGCGGUCGUGUAAGUCGGGUGUGAAAGCCCCGGGCUCAACCUGGGAAUUGCAUUCGAGACUGAACGGCUGGAGUGCGGAAGAGGGAAGCGGAAUUUCCGGUGUAGCGGUGAAAUGCGUAGAUAUCGGAAGGAACAUCAGUGGCGAAAGCUGCUUCCUGGUCCAGCACUGACGCUCAGGCACCAAAGCGUGGGGAGCAUACAAG
rnacentral:rRNA from 1 species